AGGGAAUCUUCCGCAAUGGACGAAAGUCUGACGGAGCAACGCCGCGUGAGUGUUGAAGGUCUUCGGAUCGUAAAACUCUGUUGUUAGAGAAGAACAAGUACCGUUCGAAUAGGGCGGUACCUUGGCGGUACCUAACCAGAAAGCCACGGCUAACUACGUGCCAGCAGCCGCGGUAAUACGUAGGUGGCAAGCGUUGUCCGGAAUUAUUGGGCGUAAAGCGCGCGCAGGCGGUUUCUUAAGUCUGAUGUGAAAGCCCACGGCUCAACCGUGGAGGGUCAUUGGAAACUGGGAGACUUGAGUGCAGAAGAGGAGAGUGGAAUUCCACGUGUAGCGGUGAAAUGCGUAGAGAUGUGGAGGAACACCAGUGGCGAAGGCGACUCUCUGGUCUGUAACUGACGCUGAGGCGCGAAAGCGUGGGGAACGAAC
rnacentral:rRNA from 1 species